UCUACAGAGAGUGGUCACAGAUGAGCGCGGCGGGAGGCGAGGGCGGCACACACCUGGGAGCGCCGGGGCGGGCGCGCGCCGGGCACGCAGGGACCCGCGAGGUCGAAGACAGGGCAGUGUCGUCACGGCCCCCGCGCUCCGGCCCGAAGGGGUGGCCGCAGAGCUCGAUGCUGGGGGCGGUCUCGACCACCCGCCCGCAGGCUCUCUGGGUCCCUCUCCUCGUUCUCCUGCCGCUGGCCAGGCCGGGCGGGGAGUGUGUUUGCUGAGGAUGACGCUCCGGCCCCGGGGUGACCAGAGGACAGCAGUGUUGUCGGAGUCGGGGAGUACGACCCACCGGGGGCCAGAUCGUGUUCCCCAGAGGCGGGUGGGAGAUCGGGAAGAUGGAGACCCGGAGGGGGCGCCUCGCUACUUUAAACUGUUGGAGGAGGAGACUAGAAAUCUGUCUCCUGGGUGAAUUCACAAGUCAGCGUGGCCCCUGGAGCGGCUUCCUGCCUCUGAUUUGGCCCCAAAGGAGAGACUCACACAUGGAGUGGGGGAUCAGAGGGCUGGAGGCUGAGGGCAGGGCACCAGACCCGGGCCUCACACGGUGGCCAGGCGGGCUCCAUCUCAUCUGACCCCUGCGGCAGGCCUGCCUCCCUGACGGGACGAGGGCCAAGUAGAGGAGCCACCGGCCUAAGGUCACACAGCUCGGGUGGACAGCACUUAUACGGGCUCUCAGCUUUCCGAUUUCAAGGCCAGUGCUCACUCCACAGCCGCCCCACCUGCCCCCCAGUGGGCCUCUGGCCUCCUGCUCUGUCCCCCCAUGGCCUCUGGAGACCCAGAGAGUCCCUCCCAGCCUUCAUUUGGGCCCAGGCUGCAGAACCAAGGACAGAAGAUGGGUGGGGAGGGGCGGUUCAGGACCACGGCCAUAGCCAGCAGAGCCCUGGAGGACGCCGGAGUAGCCGGGGGACCCAGAGCCCAAUGGGCCGCACUCCCUCGCAUGUUGUGAGGUCCGGGCAGAUUCCUGAGAUGGAACUGAUGAGGCGGGGGACCGAGAGGAGGGGACUUCAGGGACAAGGGCACCAACGCCUGUCCAGGUGAAAGUCCCAAGACAACAAAAACAGCAGGGAAGGAACCGGCGUCUACUGAGAAUACAAACUGUGUGUGAGGGGUCUGACCUUUCAAGAUCUGUACUAACAAUCCCGUGACGUGGGUACUUCAGCAGGUGUUACAAAUGAGGAAACUGAGGCCCAGUGACAGAGAAGUGUUAUGCAGCACACCUAGGAUUCAAAUCCUCGUCUUUUGGUUCCAAAGCUUAUGUUUUGGGGGUACAUUACCUCAGCCCAUUGACGAUGUCCUUUGUUUUCCCAAAGUAGAUCUCAUUCAGCGUACUUCUGAUUUUAUUUUCCAUGUCCUGGGAAGGGAGGUCAGUCAGACAGGAUGGCCAACAGGCGUCCUGAGGCCCACACCCUCCCGGUUCCACCGGCUCACCCCUGCAGUCCCCGCAGUGGCCACAGGGGGGAGGCGUGAGACCGCACCAAAGCCCAGUGAGCCAGCCACCCCCACGCCCCCUCGGGGCCAAGACCCCGCCUAUCAUUUGUGCUCUGAGCCCUUCCCAGGCUUCAGACACCAGGAAGCCAAUAGUCAGGGACUGGCGGCCACCGCUGACCACGACAGGAGCAGGUCUAAACCACAUCACCACCUCUCAGGCCCCCCACCAACUUCAGGAACAACUGUGUGAAGCCGGAGAGCACCCUUCCCUCCAAAGAGCGUGGGGAAGGGAAGGCAGAAGCAGCUGCGGCCAGAGAGCCUCCUGAAGUUCCUCCUGAGCCCGUGACCUUGUAGGGACACUUCCUCUCUGAGCUCAGGUCUCUCCUGGCACCCAGCGGGCCGGGGGAGCAGGACCGAGGCCUUCCUGCGCAGCCUCCUGGGAGCACGCGCUACGGGGCACAGAGGGGGUGCCCCGGGAGCUGAGCCCUGCGUGCAUUCCCAUCAGGAGGCUCGGAACACACGAGCCCAGGGCAAAAGGGCCAAAACAGAAACACGCUGCUGGCCGUUAAGGCGCUGCGCACCGGGGAGGAGGCCCGCAGGCCCGCACACACCCCUGGGGGCAGGAUGUCUGGCGCUGGGGCGCGACCCAGAGCCCAGAGCCCCACUCACCUCUACCAGGCGCCCGAUAUUGGCUAUGUGUGGGGAGCAGUCGCUCACGGUCUCAUCCUUCUCCAUCUGCAAGAGAGAAGAACAUCCCUCCACGUCAGAGCCGCACACGGCAGCCUCUGCCGACAGCACAGGCCAGCCCUGUGCUUUGCGCACAGCCCGUCACUCCCGCCGGUAGCUGUAGAGUCAGCUGCAGGUGGUACAAGGCCACUGUUCCAGCACGGAGCCCAGGCACCGGGGACUUGGGCUUUGGGUCAUCAACAGCUCAGCCAGCAGAGGCCCAGAGGCCCUGUUCCGGAGCACCCCCCUCCCGGCCCCCAGGCCGCAGCAGCGAGGGCAGAGGGAUGGCCCUGGCCAGACACUGGCUCAGGCUGUGGGUCCCCUCAUACUGCACAAGAGCCUCCACUGCCCUGUGACAGCAACUUCGGAGGGAGGGGCCAGCAGCCCCGAGAGACGGGGACUGAGGAGCCUCGCCCGAGGUGACACAGGUAGUGUCAGGUCGUGGCCCAGACACUUCUCAGUGCACAGCCUGCGGGGCUGGCCAUGUGGCCGGGGGCAGUUUGAGCAAGAGGAUCUGAACCCAGAUUCCUAGACAGCAACCAAGUAGGGUUUUGGAGGAGGUGGGACCCAGCAGUCGGGUCUUGGGCGGGUCAGUUCUGGUCCAAUAAUCCUAACUACUAAAGUCCUGACAAAGUUUUACUGAAAGUAGUAAAAGGCAGGGGAGGGGAUGACAGAUGAUUCCUGACCUGCACACUUAUGCACGAGGUGUGGACCCCCUACCCCUCUGUCUGUGCAAGGCAGAGUUCCCUCCCAAGACCGUGGAUUCCUUAAGGAGAGCCUUCCCUGUCUACACCUCACAGGGCGCCUAGGACGGUGGUGAGUUACGGAGUGGAGACUCCUAGCAGCCCUGCUCACUGUUGGGUGAAACAGGUCCUCCCGACACAGGAUGAAAAGGUAAGGACAGGAGUACCAAGACAGCCAGAGCUCAGAAUGAAUUCAGACGAGAAAGCCCAGGGGGAGUGGGAAGGUGAAUGGGCUUCAGAGGCAGGAGCGCAGGGCGGAUGCCUGGGGAGGGCAGGGCGGCAGUGUGCUCAGAGGUCAAAGGUCUCUGCUGCUUCCCACACCGAUUUUGACUUUCUUAUCAGACAGAAUGGUUUUCAUGCCAGAAACGGUAGAAGAGACCCAGUUAGGAGCCAGAUGAAGCGAGCAGACGGUAGGAGGGACCCAAGUCACUUUAAAUGAUCAGGCUUCCAGGGUCAGACAGGUCCGAUUCUGUGGACCAGCCAUCCCUGAAAAGUCACAGCACAGAUUCCAGAACACGGGAGGAGGGCGGAGACUGACCCUACUUUCACCAAAAAGGAAGAUUUGAGUUGGAGAUUCAACACUGAUCCACACCAGCCCUGGUGACAGCACCGAGGGUCCAAAUGAUCAGAACCCAGGGACGUGGGCUGGUACGGGACACAACAGCUGCCAAGUGCAGGGUCAUCUACUCCGCUCAGUCCCUGUAAGAGACCUCUGUCUGCAACCCAAGGGAGCGGAAGCUCAAAGAUGUCAAGGCAUCUGCCCCGGUCACGGCAGGUCUCGGCUGGCUGGGGUGAGUGCCAACCACAUUGGCUCCAACGUGAACCUCACCAAGUACAGAAUGGGAACCAAGUCCUGCGAAGAGACGCGUGGUUUCGAGAGGACUUCAAGCUUGAGGACAACGUGACGUGGCUGCCACAAGAGCUUCCACGCAACUUCAGCUACAGAGAUGAACCGUUACCGGUGCCUGGUCAGGGGCAGCCCAGCAGCGCGGCGUCGGCCCCUCUCCCUCCGGGCUGCCCGGCCCGGCCACGUCUGCAGGGCAGGACUCAGUUUAGGGUGCUGGGUUUUAAGAAACCCGUGGGCAAAGCUGGAGGUCCGGUGCUUGCAAGGUCUCGACACCCUGACCCCAAGAAAUGGGCAGGAAUGGGGUAUCUGGCCUGCCCCUGGCACUGGCGACCCUGAGGAGCCUCGAGCCUCAGAGAUCACAAGGGCCCCCACCAAACAGAAGUGAGAGCGCUCCUGAACUCGGAAGUGAUAGCCACUCCCCACCACGUCAAGUUUCCUGAACACCCUUUGUCCUCCCACAAAAGCACGGUCUCUCGCCGCCUUCCCCAGCUCCGCGCAGGAGCUAAAUUCCUGGCAACCUCGGGGAAGUGACGAGGCUGAGCUCACCGAGGGCCCCGUCUUGAACGAGUGCCAACAGCCCAAAGUAAGGCUGGGACUGUCGGCAGAGGGCUUUGGGCCGCCAGGGUUAAGUACAAGCACAUCAGCAACCCAACCUCUUGGGUAUCAUCUCUGCUUCCGAUCAACCUUCAAGGGAACAGAAGGGCAGGAAAACACCAGUCGCCCAAAGGUACAAAAGGUCUGGGGUGAGGGUAGGGGGAGAGUGAGGAGGCCUGGUCUUCUCUAGGAGCAGACUGACUCCCCAGGAGGACACAAGGGGUCCCUAAGCUUGUGGCAGGGGAUCCGAGCCCAAGGAAAAGUCUGGCGGGGACCAGGGACCGGAAAAGGGAAGGAAGACACGGGCUGGGGGUGCGGGCAAGGGGCCCUGGCGCACACAGACGUGUUUCCACAGCCCCCCUGCCCACACCCCUGCUGACUCCCUCCACACCUGGUCAGGGUCAGCUUGCUGGAAACGCUGACCCACCAAAAAUAGAAUGAUUUUUGCAAUGCAUAUAUUAUUACAUCCUUAUAAAAGCGGCUGCCAGAGGAAAACAUUUUUAUGUGCUGUGGCCGCACAGAUGUUCCACAAAGUGGAUCCAACCAAGUCUGAAGUCAGAGCCCAGCCCGCUUGUCCCCAUCAAGCUCCUCUCCUCCGCUGUGGCCUGGAGACGGGAAGGACACGGUAAGUACGUGGAGAGCAGGCCGUCUUCCUCCAGUCCAGUCUCUCCCGUGGCCAUGUGGCAUUUUCCAACAGGCGCAGCCUGGAGGGUGGGACCCUGAAGGGAGCCAGCCCCGCUCCGUGCCCCGCUCUGGAGCCCAAGGGCUGAGGGCCUUGGCCUGCCCAUACCUCCGUUUCCAGGCCUCUACCUGGGCCCACUACGUGCCCAGGACAGGGCCUGGCAGGACGCCAGCUCCAUUCCCGGGGCUCCUCCGGUCCUGGCUCUCAGGCAGAAGCCAGAGACGUCCUCCUGCUGACUGAGCUGUGCUCUGGGUAAGAGCUGGGCUGGAGGCCAGGACUUAACACGCUGUCAAGCCAGAAGACGUGGUCAGACGGCCUCUCAAGGAAGGUUCGGUGUGCCCAGUUUAGGGAAAUUUUAAUUGAGCCUAGAACUGCAUAUAUUCUAGAAGACGGAAAAGUCUCUGCUUAUAGGGUAUGCGGUAGAAGGUAUUUCUGAAUACUAACAGAAAUAGUUAUUAUUUAUUGAGCACAGACCAUGUGUCCAAAUGGUUUUUUAUUUUUCCUCUACAACAGCUUUUCCAAACAGGUGUUAUUAGCUCAACGGUGAGAACGUGGAGACUCAGAGAAGGGGAGUGGACUGUCCGGAUCACACAGCUGGUAAGGGAGCAGGGUAGGACUGACCCAGCUCUGGACAAUCCUGAAGCUUGUUUUUCUUCCAUGAGACCUCUCCGUGGGCUCAACUUCAUGCACAUUCUUUCCCAGAAAAAUCAAAGACAAACCACAAUCCGGGGCUCGGAAAUUCUGACCAGUACCCCACCUCUCCACCUCCCUCCCCCGCAGGGCCCCCUGCGGAUCUCCAGUCCCUUCCUCUCCUGCCUGACUGUCCCUAGAAGCUGAUCCCGCCCAGUGCUGAUCCAGGCCACCUCACGGAGCACAAAGAAGCAAGCAAGUGCUCCCUGAGCUGCGGGGCGUGCUCGCCUGCCUCCUGAAGACGCCACGGGCCUCGUUCCCCUGCUAGAACAUACCGCCUGGCCUAACUGCCAAGCUCAAGUCAAAGGGGAUGUCCCUGCCGUGACACAAGGGCAGGUGACUGCCUUGGAGUUUUCUGGCUUAAAGACAAGUCAUAGGGCGCCUGUAUCCGAGUGGGGAGAGCUCAGCUUGCAGAGGACCCGCCUGAUCCCCCCACUCGACACAACAUUCCACCUUCGUUUCUAAAUGUUUAGAAUCUGAAAAAACUAUCAAACGAACAUCUGGGCCCACCCCGGAUCGGAAACCUUGGAUCUCCUUCCAGAGAUUUAUGGUCUUGCCUCUUUCCCACGUCUCCAGCUGUCACACAGGAGAAGUGACCUCUCAAUGCAACUUCCUUUCUAACAUGUUGGUACUUGGCUUGCAACGUCUUUUCCUUGCUCUACAGCCUUCCCCCUGGGGCCCAGGUGGCAGUCGGCCAGAGGGCACCUUCCGCCCUCCUCCCCUGGAAGGACCAUAUGAUUUGGCUGUGAGGAGCUCCCACAAGCACCGCUGCGCACCCUUCCUCCCCAGCCCCCCAGCCGCCUGGAUUUGCCCCGAUGCUUGUUCCACCUGUUCCACCUUCCAGCCCGUGUCCCCAGGAGGCCUUGCUAGGCGGAGGGUGGAGGCAAGAAAGGGCCAAAGGGGAGGUGACGGGAGAGGGCGCCGAGGGAGCGCAGGCUGGCGCGCCCCUGGUCUGAGCCCACCGGAGCACCUCUGCAGCCUGGGUGUUGUGAGCAGGGGGGGAAAAGUGGCCGUUGUUAAAUUCACCAACGAUUUAAAGAAAGCUCUCCAUGUCUGGGGCACCUGGGCGGCUCAGUCGGUUAAGCAGCUGACUUCAGCUCAGGUCCUGAUCUCCCAGUUUGUGAGUUCGAGCCCUGCAUCGGGCUCUGGGCUGACAGCUCGGAGCCUGGAGCCUGCUUCGGAUUCUUGUCUCCCUCUCUCUCUGCCCCUCCCCAACUCAUGCUCUGUCUCUAUCAAAAAUACACAUCAAAAAAACAAACAAAAAAGGAAGCUCUCCAAGUCCUGCACUUACGCUCCCAGCCACCGAACUGAGAGAGAAGAGGACUGGGGGCAAAGCCUCCAAAGCUGGGGAGGGACCCCUGGGGGCCUCUGUGGGGGAGUGCUCCCGACCACUGGCCAGGAUGGCUUGUAGGGUGGGUGCCUGGUGACACGGGUCCUUCCUUCCAGACGCACACGAGGCAGGAGUGAGUGUGUGGCCGCGGGGAGGCCUAGCUUCCGGAGGGAAAGCCUGGGUCUGGUCACCUCGGGCAUGGCUUGGUAGAGGAGCUCAAAUGAGGAAGCCUCCCCUGACCCCAUCGCUCACAUCAUGACGGGUCACCCACGCCCCGCCCCUCCUGCCUUGUUCUUUGUUACUACCAGCCUCGGGGCUGACACCAGCUCAUGGACUGACCUCCUGGCUGCUGGGCCCAGAGGACAGAUUAAGAGCAGAAAGUACAGCGUGGUACAAGGUAGCCCUCUUUUUUUUUUCUAGACAGACAAAUCUGGCUCCGCCUCCUACUAGACAAAUCAGCACGAGGACAUUACAUAACGGUUCAAACGUCGGUCUCCUCCUCCUGUCGGUUAAACAGGGAGGGGAACGCCACCUCGCUUACAAUUGAAUCAAGGGGGCAGCCCCCCAAAGCACCACGGGUCGCCCACUCUUUAUCACCAGCUUUCCUGGAACCCCUUGGUUCCCGAUCCAAGGCAACCGGACGUUUUCCCGAGGUUCAUCCGGGACACACAGCUAAACCCGCAGCCCUCGUUUCCCGUUUGCUCGGAAGCCACGCAUCAUUAGCCGAGACCUGUCUCCCUGGCCGCGGCCCUGCCCCUCCUCUCAGUUACUUACCUUGGAAACCGGCCCCAGCUUUAACGCACCUCGGAUAAGUUAUGCGACCGGCCGUUAGGAUGACAGAAGCACGAAUCUCCUCAUUAAAGGCCGAGGGCACAAGGCGACACAAACGGGCCCUCGGCCCCGGCCUGGCGGGCUGAGGACAGCCACUCGUCGGGCCCGUGUGGCUUGGCAGCAGGCACCGCUCGCGGCCAGCCGGAACCAGGCCCUGGCCGUGGGCUGGCGGCUCCGACCGAAACUACCAGGAAGGCUGAGGAUUAAAUAUUUGUCCGGGUCGCUGUAAACCAGUGGAAUUAUAAACAGUUUGGAGCGGCACUGGCUACCGUCCCCAGCAGCCUGUCGCCAACCCGCUGUCUCUGCCGUCACUCCAUGUACAAGAUAACACCCGUCAGUUCUCUGCACAAAGCACCUCUCCGCUAGAGUCUCCUGCCUGCCCACAACCAUCCCUCCCCCCCAUGGCGAAAAGCAGCCAGAUUUUACCGCAGGAAACUGACACCCUUUUUUCCCUCUAUACCACCACCAACCUGAAGUCUGGCCAGACUGCUUCAUGCCCCCCCGGCCUUGGGAAAUGAUACUGCGAUGGACACAGGUGGCCGAGGCCAGUGAGACAUUGCUGGGGUUAGAGGAGACCUAUCGUGAAAGGGAAGCUCUUCCCCCCCGCACUGCCCGCCGCCAGAUGUGAGCCAGAGGCCGCCUGCUCCCAUGCGGAGACACGGGAGUCCUGACGCCCUAGGCCCAGUCACACCAAACGAAGCCCGAACGUCUCUCAGUCACACAAAACGCCUCGUUUUCAUUUUGGCUUAAGGCUGUACUUGCUACCAAGAGUCCUCACACAGGACCUGAGUCACAACUGGGACAUUCUCCCAUUCUAAAGUGUUAUCGGGAGUCUGUCCUGAACAUCACAGAAGCAUUUCAAUGUAAAUACCCUAGCAAAAAGAUAGACCCUUCCAAGACCUGAUCUCUGGAAUCACCAAGAGGCCUGUGGGGAGGUCCCCGCGGGCACAGAGGCUGCCCCAGGCCUUCCCUGCGGGGCACCGGCAACUCUUACCUGUCUGGUUAGGCUGCCUCCGAGGUUCAUGGUGCCAGAGCCCGACUUGUUGGUCUGCAGCCACAGCAUCACCGUGGAGGUCAGCUUGUAAUGGGCGGUGCGACCACUGGAUUUCUCCUGCAGGACGAGACGGACAUCAGGACCCUAGAUGCGACCCUGAGCUGAGGAGAGCCUGAACUCAGUUGGAGCCCGAACUCAGGGGCUUAGGAGUCCUAAAGUUGAACUGGAGUGUGAGCUCUGCCACACUAACGCUGUGGUCUUUGGCAAGCUUACUAAACUUCUCCGGGCUUCUGGUUCUUUCCAGAUGAAGGAUCCAGCAAAGUGUGUUCGGGACCCUGAACUCAGGGCCAUUCUACAUUCGAACGUGUCCCUCCCACCACCGUGUGCCACCAGCACAUGACCUUCUUAGAAAAUCCCAGCUGGCUUCUAAAGGGACUGAGUCUACAACCACGUGCACUCAGUUCUUUGGGAUCUUUAGCACCAGGGACUACUGCAACCUUGACUUCUCUCUAUAGAACUAAGUGGCUUUGGGGCGCGUGUAGGAGUGAACAGGGCUUGAACAGGGCUUCACAUAUCACAGCAUCCCCCUCACUUCAAGAAACUUCUGCCGGGAGGUGCGGGGGGAAGGGCCAUACCUGCACUUCCACCACGUGGAUGGAGUCCCAGCAGCCCUUGAUCUUCUUUGAUCCGUCUCCAGCCUUCUUUAUGAGGAUCACUCCAGCAAAACCAUGAUCCAGAUCCCAGAGGUAGACAGAUGAGACGCCGCCUUCAAAAUACCUGCCGGAAACAGGCCCACGUGCCCAUUAGAUGUUAAGCCCGUCAAAUUACAGAUCAUCAGCCCAGGGGUUCGUUUGGCAAAGCUUCAUCUGAAGGUCUGUCUGGAAAUGAGGACCCUCCCUCCCUGCGGUGCUUUCCAGGGCUGACUCUUCACGUGUCCUGAGCACCUGUGCUUGGGGGAGGGGUCCCAAAAGGAACAGGGGCUUAGGAGUCCUAAAGUUGAACUGGACUGUGAGCUCUGCCACACUAACUCUGUGGUCUUUGGCAAGCUUACUAAACUUCUCCGGGCUUCUGGUUCUUUCCAGAUGAAGGAUCCAGCAAAGUGUGUGAUGUGGAAUGGACGCACAAUGGGGGUCAUCACCAGAGUAAUCGUUACUGUUCGACAUCCCUAUCUUUCAGGACAGCUAUUUCACAGGGGGAUCGGGAGAAAAAGACAGCAGAGCCCCCCCCCCCCCAGCUCCCUCCUGGAAAAUCUCCUAACUAAGAACAAAUGCAAGAGGGGAAGAGGACGACAUCAGGCUGGGGUCCCAAAUCCAGGAGACCCAGAGUGACAGCGCGGCAGAACCGGGCGGCCGGGGGCACAGCGGGUCACCAGCCGCUGUGCGGUGAGUACCCGCGUCGCAGCACGCUCUUUAUCAGCCCGCUGCUAGAGCACAUUCUUUACCGGGACGUCUGUGGCCUCUCUGACCCCAAUUAACCUCGGCAUCCACGGUGUGGCAGGCACACUCUGGGGCUCGCUGGGAGGGCCAGCAGCACAUGUGCGGCGCUGAGCACAGGCUUGGGGGGCACGGGGGCCUGGGCCCCGGCCCCCCCAUCACCAGCUGUGGUCACACAUUACCCACCCGCCAACUCUUUAUAAAGUGUUACCAGGUACCGACAGUCUGAACUGGGCCUUAGUUUCAUUAUAAAAUGGGAACAGUAAUACCUACUUUAUAGGACUCGUAAGAGACAAAAAAACAAAACAAAAAACCCCCCAAAAAACCCCACGGGAAAGUAAAAAAAUCUGACCAAAGAUAAUUAUUGAUUUUAAUAACAAAAAUAAGUACUAAAAAUAAACACGUCUGUGAAUUCUCAAUAAAGCUGUUACAUGAUAAAAAUAUA